GCAAAGUCGUAAGACCAUGUAUAGGGCUGACGCAUGCCCAGUGUCGGAAGGUCAAGGAAGUUGGUGAACUGAUGACAGGGAAGCGACCGAGCGACCGAAGCCCCAGUGAACGGGAGCUGUAAUUAUAACAGUCCUAAGGUAGCGAAAUUCCCUGUCGGAUAAGUUCCGACCUGCACCAAAACAAAAUGGUUCGCCCUAGGAUCCUUACGAGAUAUUAG
rnacentral:ncRNA from 1 species